AGUCGAGCGGUAGAGAGAAGCUUGCUUCUCUUGAGAGCGGCGGACGGGUGAGUAAUGCCUAGGAAUCUGCCUAGUGGUGGGGGAUAACGUUCGGAAACGGACGCUAAUACCGCAUACGUCCUACGGGAGAAAGCGGGGGACCUUCGGGCCUCGCGCCAUUAGAUGAGCCUAGGUCGGAUUAGCUAGUUGGUGAGGUAAUGGCUCACCAAGGCUACGAUCCGUAACUGGUCUGAGAGGAUGAUCAGUCACACUGGAACUGAGACACGGUCCAGACUCCUACGGGAGGCAGCAGUGGGGAAUAUUGGACAAUGGGCGAAAGCCUGAUCCAGCCAUGCCGCGUGUGUGAAGAAGGUCUUCGGAUUGUAAAGCACUUUAAGUUGGGAGGAAGGGUAGUAACUUAAUACGUUGCUACUUUGACGUUACCGACAGAAUAAGCACCGGCUAACUUCGUGCCAGCAGCCGCGGUAAUACGAAGGGUGCAAGCGUUAAUCGGAAUUACUGGGCGUAAAGCGCGCGUAGGUGGUUCAGUAAGUUGGAAGUGAAAUCCCCGGGCUCAACCUGGGAACUGCUUUCAAAACUGCUGAGCUAGAGUACGGUAGAGGGUAGUGGAAUUUCCUGUGUAGCGGUGAAAUGCGUAGAUAUAGGAAGGAACACCAGUGGCGAAGGCGACUACCUGGACUGAUACUGACACUGAGGUGCGAAAGCGUGGGGAGCAAACAGGAUUAGAUACCCUGGUAGUCCACGCCGUAAACGAUGUCAACUAGCCGUUGGGAGUCUUGAACUCUUAGUGGCGCAGCUAACGCAUUAAAGUUGACCGCCUGGGGAGUACGGCCGCAAGGUUAAACUCAAAUGAAUUGACGGGGGCCCGCACAACGGUGGAACAUGUGGUU
rnacentral:rRNA from 1 species